AUCUCAGGAAAGCGAUGGUUGGAGUGAGUCUCGCCUUCCCCUUUCCCAUUACACUGGAAGCUAUCCUAGAAAUGUCACGAAAGCAGCAACAGCCUGCGCGCCCUAAGCCAGGGAGGAACACGGAUCAACCGCUGGAGGAGGAAUUUUGGACAGGCACGUUCCGUGAUCCUGAAGGAGCGCGCUGCUGCUUGGCUUGCGUCCGGGUCCGAGGAAAGGACAGCACAAGGAGACGCGCGUGUUGCGCAGAGCACGGACGCCGCCGCUCGCGCCCUUCGGUGAAAAAAUAACGUGUGCUGAAGUUCUGAGGUGUUCUUGUUGCGGUUCGGGGAGAGAGACCCGGCGGCCGGAUUCCUUUCUCGCACGCAGCCGUUUCCUGAGCGAGAAGCGGGGCCACAGAGGAGGAGCGGGUUCGAGGUGUCGGUUGUGUGCAGUUCGGCAGUAGGGCGGGUGCUGGCGAUGGAGACGGCCGGGAGGGAUCCUCAUAGCGCAUUACGACUCGCUUCAUGUUUGUACGUCCAAAAAUGAUCAUAUUUCACACCUUAUUUUUCUUCACACAGAUUAUCAACAUUUGCUGACACCCUGUCAUAACAUGUGAACCAGAGCUUACAGUAUACAAAACCAUUUACAUUCAUAGAAAUAACUUUUUGCAGACCGUGUGGAAAUUUUGACUUGUAAAAAUAAGAGCCCAUCCAUCUGCAUUCUUCUUUAACAUACCUGAACCAGAGACUGUAGUCGUCAGCAGUUAUUUCUCAUUGCUCUGAAUGACAUUUAGUAACUAACCUUGCUGGCAGAUUUGAGAUGGUUGACAAAGAUGUUUUUAUGCCAAGCAACACCAGUUAUAAACAGCGAUGUAUCGACAAGGCUAUUUUGAGGAAAGUCAUAUCUAAGAUUACAGUAUUUCUAAGUAAAAGUCAUCUUUUUGUGUUAUUGUAUGUAGAAAUUGUUUUUUUUUUUUA